GACGAACGCUGGCGGCGUGCUUAACACAUGCAAGUCGAACGGAAAGGCCCUGCUUGCAGGGUACUCGAGUGGCGAACGGGUGAGUAACACGUGGGUGAUCUGCCCUGCACUUCGGGAUAAGCCUGGGAAACUGGGUCUAAUACCGGAUAGGAGCCAUUUUUAGUGUGAUGGUUGGAAAGUUUUUUCGGUGUAGGAUGAGCUCGCGGCCUAUCAGCUUGUUGGUGGGGUAAUGGCCUACCAAGGCGGCGACGGGUAGCCGGCCUGAGAGGGUGGACGGCCACAUUGGGGACGAGAUACGGCCCAGAAUCCUACGGGAGGCAGCAGGGGGGAAUAUUGCACAAUGGGCGGAAGCCUGAUGCAGCGAAGCCGCGGGGGGGAUGACGGCCUUCGGGUUGUAAACUCCUUUCGCUAGGGACGAAGCUUUUUGUGACGGUACCUAGAUAAGAAGCACCGGCUAACUACGUG
rnacentral:rRNA from 1 species